GAUGAACGCUGGCGGCGUGCUUAACACAUGCAAGUCGAACGGUGAAGCAGAGCUUGCUCUGUGGAUCAGUGGCGAACGGGUGAGUAACACGUGAGCAACCUGCCCCUGACUCUGGGAUAAGCGCUGGCAACGGCGUCUAAUACUGGAUAUGAGCUGCGACCGCAUGGUCAGCAGUUGGAAAGAUUUUUCGGUCUGGGAUGGGCUCACGGCCUAUCAGCUUGUUGGUGAGGUAAUGGCUCACCAAGGCGUCGACGGGUAGCCGGCCUGAGAGGGUGACCGGCCACACGGGGACUGAGACACGGCCCAGACUCCUACGGGAGGCAGCAGUGGGGAGUAUGGCACAAUGGGCGAAAGCCUGAUGCAGCAGCGCCGCGUGAGGGAUGACGGCCUUCGGGUUGUAAACCUCUUUUAGCAGGGAAGAAGCGAAAGUGACGGUACCUGCAGAAAAAGCGCCGGCUAACUACGUG
rnacentral:rRNA from 1 species